AAGUCGUAACAAGGUUUCCGUAGGUGAACCUGCGGAAGGAUCAUUAAAGAAUGCCCCGUUUUUUGAAAUGGGUUCUAUUCCCAAACCGUGUAUACAUACCUUUGUUGCUUUGGCAGGCCGCCUUCGGGCGUCGGCUCACGCUGACCGCGCCUGCCAGAGGACCCAAACUCUUUUGUUUAGUGAUGUCUGAGUAUUAUAUAAUAGCUAAAA
rnacentral:misc_RNA from 1 species